CCUACGGGGGGCAGCAGUGGGGAAUAUUGCGCAAUGGGCGAAAGCCUGACGCAGCGACGCCGCGUGAGGGAUGAAGGUCCUCGGAUCGUAAACCUCUGUCAGCAGGGAAGCACGGUCACUGUGCUAAUCAGCAGUGAAUUGACGGUACCUGCAAAGGAAGCACCGGCUAACUCCGUGCCAGCAGCCGCGGGAAUACGGAGGGUGCGAGCGUUAAUCGGAAUUACUGGGCGUAAAGCGCUCGUAGGCGGUAUGUCAAGUCAAGGGUGAAAUCCCCGCGCUCAACGUGGGAACUGCCGUUGAAACGGGCAGACUGGAGUGGGUGAGAGGAUAGUGGAAUUCCAGGUGUAGGGGUGAAAUCCGUAGAUAUCUGGAGGAACAUCAGUGGCGAAGGCGACUAUCUGGCACAUAACUGACGCUGAGGAGCGAAAGCGUGGGUAGCAAACAGGAUUAGAUACCCUUGUAGUC
rnacentral:rRNA from 1 species